rnacentral:rRNA from 1 species
CCUACGGGAGGCAGCAGUGGGGAAUAUUGCACAAUGGGCGCAAGCCUGAUGCAGCCAUGCCGCGUGUGUGAAGAAGGCCUUCGGGUUGUAAAGCACUUUCAGCGGGGAGGAAGGCGUUAAGGUUAAUAACCUUGUCGAUUGACGUUACCCGCAGAAGAAGCACCGGCUAACUCCGUGCCAGCAGCCGCGGUAAUACGGAGGAUGCAAGCGUUAAUCGGAAUUACUGGGCGUAAAGCGCACGCAGGCGGUCUGUCAAGUCGGAUGUGAAAUCCCCGGGCUCAACCUGGGAACUGCAUUCGAAACUGGCAGGCUAGAGUCUUGUAGAGGGGGGUAGAAUUCCAGGUGUAGCGGUGAAAUGCGUAGAGAUCUGGAGGAAUACCGGUGGCGAAGGCGGCCCCCUGGACAAAGACUGACGCUCAGGUGCGAAAGCGUGGGGAGCAAACAGGAUUAGAUACCCUUGUAGUC